UACGGAGGGUGCGAGCGUUGUCCGGAAUCAUUGGGCGUAAAGGGCGCGUAGGUGGCGGGACAAGCGUGCGGUGAAAGCCUGGGGCUCAACCCCGGGUCGGCCGUGCGAACUGUUUUGCUUGAGCACUGUAGAGGCAGGCGGAAUUCCGGGUGUAGCGGUGGAAUGCGUAGAGAUGUGGAGGAACACCAGUGGCGAAGGCGACUCUUUGGUCUGUAACUGACGCUGAGGCGCGAAAGCGUGGGGAGCAAACAGG
rnacentral:rRNA from 1 species